UACCUGAUUGAUCCUGCCAGUAGUCAUAUGCUUGUCUCAAAGAUUAAGCCAUGCAUGUGCAAGUAUGAACCAAUUUGAACUGUGAAACUGCGAAUGGCUCAUUAUAUCAGAGUUAUAGUUUGUUUGAUGGUACACGU
rnacentral:ncRNA from 1 species